CCCACAGCAAAGGUAACAGUAAACGAUUGGCUGAUUGCCUUUAUUUAGGACGUGGAUCACAAGGGUCUGUGGAGCCAAAGACCAGAAGGCUGUUGGAAUCACAGACAAGAAGUCCUGCUCGCAGAACCCUCGCUUGAUGCUCAACUGGACAGGUUAGCAUAUCGAUGAAAAGCGCAGUGUUCUCAAGGCGCCGAGAAUCUCAGCUACGACACAACCAUCCAAAGGUAGUUACACGGCGCACGGACAAUGGCCUCCACGUUUUUGUAUUUUAUUACAUUUGGAAUUCACCAACAGGUGCAAGCAAACGAGAUGAUCACUCCUCUUAUUUUGUGUUUUUUACAUUUGCGAUUCAUCAGCAAGUGCA